rnacentral:rRNA from 1 species
CGCACGGGUGAGUAACACGUAUCCAACCUGCCGUCUACUCUUGGACAGCCUUCUGAAAGGAAGAUUAAUACAAGAUGGCAUCAUGAGUUCACAUGUUCACAUGAUUAAAGGUAUUCCGGUAGACGAUGGGGAUGCGUUCCAUUAGAUAGUAGGUGGGGUAACGGCCCACCCAGUCUUCGAUGGAUAGGGGUUCUGAGAGGAAGGUCCCCCACAUUGGAACUGAGACACGGUCCAA